UACGGAGGAUCCAAGCGUUAUCCGGAUUUAUUGGGUUUAAAGGGUGCGCAGGCGGGAGAUUAAGUCGGUGGUGAAAUUUUGCAGCUCAACUGUAAAAGUGCCAUUGAUACUGGUUUUCUUGAGUGUAGAUGAAGUAGGCGGAAUUUGUGGUGUAGCGGUGAAAUGCAUAGAUAUCACGAGGAACUCCGAUUGCGCAGGCAGCUUACUAAACUAUAACUGACGCUCAGGCACGAAGGCGUGGGGGUCAAACAGGAUUAGAUACCCU
rnacentral:rRNA from 1 species